UCCGGCUCAGGACGAACGCUGGCGGCGUGCCUAAUACAUGCAAGUCGAACGCUUCUUUUUCCACCGGAGCUUGCUCCACCGGAAAAAGAGGAGUGGCGAACGGGUGAGUAACACGUGGGUAACCUGCCCAUCAGAAGGGGAUAACACUUGGAAACAGGUGCUAAUACCGUAUAACAAUCGAAACCGCAUGGUUUUGAUUUGAAAGGCGCUUUCGGGUGUCGCUGAUGGAUGGACCCGCGGUGCAUUAGCUAGUUGGUGAGGUAACGGCUCACCAAGGCCACGAUGCAUAGCCGACCUGAGAGGGUGAUCGGCCACAUUGGGACUGAGACACGGCCCAAACUCCUACGGGAGGCAGCAGUAGGGAAUCUUCGGCAAUGGACGAAAGUCUGACCGAGCAACGCCGCGUGAGUGAAGAAGGUUUUCGGAUCGUAAAACUCUGUUGUUAGAGAAGAACAAGGAUGAGAGUAACUGUUCAUCCCUUGACGGUAUCUAACCAGAAAGCCACGGCUAACUA
rnacentral:rRNA from 1 species